rnacentral:rRNA from 1 species
AAGAGUUCGUAGGUGGUUGAAAAAGUUGGUGGUGAAAUCCCAGAGCUUAACUCUGGAACUGCCAUCAAAACUUUUCAGCUAGAGUUUGAUAGAGGAAAGCAGAAUUUCUAGUGUAGAGGUGAAAUUCGUAGAUAUUAGAAAGAAUACCAAUUGCGAAGGCAGUUUUCUGGAUCAUUACUGACACUGAGGAACGAAAGCAUGGGUAGCGAAGAGGAUUAGAUACCCUCGUAGUCCAUGCCGUAAACGAUGUGUGUUAGACGUUGGAAAUUUAUUUUCAGUGUCGCAGCGAAAGCGAUAAACACACCGCCUGGGGAGUACGACCGCAAGGUUAAAACUCAAAUGAAUUGACGGGGACCCGCACAAGUAGUGGAGCAUGUGGUUUAAUUCGAAGAUACGCGCAGAACCUUACCAACACUUGACAUGUUCGUCGCGACUCUAAGAGAUUAGAGUUUUCGGUUCGGCCGGACGAAACACAGGUGCUGCAUGGCUGUCGUCAGCUCGUGUCGUGAGAUGUUGGGCUAAGUCCCGCAACGAGCGCAACCCUCACUUUUAGUUGCCAUCAUUAAGUUGGGCACUCUGAAAGAACUGCCAGUGAUAAGCUGGAGGAAGGUGGGGAUGACGUCAAGUCCUCAUGGCCCUUACGUGUUGGGCUACACACGUGCUACAAUGGUAUCUACAACAGGAAGCAAGACUGCGAAGUUAAGCAAAUCCCUAAAAGAUACCUCAGUUCGGAUU